UGGACGGCAGCGUUGCCGUCAUCAUUGCACCGAAGGGCGACCAUCACAAGGCGGCAUUUUAUCCCCGCAAGGGACAUUAUGCCCACAUCGUCAUGCUAAUCUGCGACGAAGACAUCGGAAUCCUGCCGUGAACCACUGCGUCUGGGGUCAGACUACGACGCCCACGUCUGGUGGACAACGCGGCUGCGUGAGCGCAUCGAAGGGGCCCGGAUUGCCGCGGCCGUACCUUCUGGCCUCUAGGUGACAGAGGCUACAAACCAGGACCAUGGCUCCUGACACCUCUCCGAGGCUGUCCUCUCAGAAACGGUGUUAAAAAGGCAAGUGCUACACUGCACAUGCUGCAAUGCAGUCUGUAAUGAAGCGUUGUGCUGGGCUAUUGAAAAGCUGCGUUCAGCAGUGCAGUUGUACCCUCCAUUAAGAAUCAGAAUGUGCAUCUCACAUUGCUGCAGCAUGUGCAGUGUUGCACUUGCCUUUGCAUUGCAGAAGGUGACAGAAAUGUUCAUGAUUUCAGCGAUGAUUACAAUAGUGAGCAUGGCAGUGUUGUCAGAGAUGACCCCCAACCACUGCUUAGACAAGGAAGGUCAUCACGCUCCUCAUGUAUUCCUGGACAAGCUGUCCGCAGUGGUAAUCCGCUAUUUGGCUAACUGCACCACUGACAACAGCACUAGGCAAGUGUCAUUUCAGUGAGAAACAUGUGCCUAAGAAGUAACAAUAAUAUAUCGGGUUUUCCGUGCCAAAACCAUGAUACAAUUCUGAGCCACACUGCAGUGGAGGACUGAAUUUAUCUUGACCACCUGUGGCUCUUUAACGUGAAUCUCAAUGUAAGUACAGCAGUGAUCCUGCACGUUACCCUCAUGGAGAUGUGUUCGCUGUCAGCAGGAACCGACCCAUGCGCUGAAUGAAGCUUAGCAGCGCAACUUCCUACCUGCUAAGAUGUUACCUAACAAGUAAAAGAAAACGUUUCGAAGUUAAAUUUCUUGGUAAUAAUAAAUCGCUACUGGGUUUCAUCAUAUGCUGAAUGACCAGGUCUUUCGCAGAACUUGACUACACGUGACUGGGUCAUUUUUAUAUGGCGGUAGAUAGGAACUUUUAGCAACUGUCAAUAUAACGCACUGUACUCGGCAGCUGAGUGCUAUAGCCAAUUCUCUGGAAAGCAAGGGUUUGUUAUUGUUUUUGUUACUGCUGACCGUCCUCUAAUCACGAACACUGUGACCGUUAUCUGUUCUAUGACUGGGAGUGCACACCAAGUCUUUGUCUCCUCACUUCCUGUAUAACAACACAGGGCUUGCCUUUUGCUUCACGCACAACUUGUGGGCACUGUGCUCUUUUGUUGCACAUCCACCACACUGUUCCUUUUGAAAGGGCCAACUGAUGCUGAAACAGAUCGUCUGGCAUUUCAAGUACCUUUUUCUCAUUCAGAAGUGUGCUCAUUUGUGAAUGAAGAAGUAAUGUGAAAGAAUAUGUAAGCAGUCUCUUCAAGACAGAACCUUGUAAAAAAAAGAAUUUAUUCGUGUUCACACCAAUGCAAAGACGGCACAUACUUUCUGUAAAUAAACGUACAUUGGGAAACUGUAGUGUCAUGUUUCUAAAGCAUUACUGACAUCUUUACAUGCACAAGUUACAAGAAACAUCAUGCUGAAGGAAGCGCAGUGUGACAUCGUACUGCAUGGGUAAUUAAUGACUACUAUAAUGCAAAUAUAGAUAACAUCAGCAUGCCUUUGUACUAUGGA